CACGUAUUUAGCCGGAGCUUCUUAGUCAGGUACCGUCAUUUCUUCCCUGCUGAUAGAGCUUUACAUACCGAAAUACUUCUUCGCUCACGCGGCGUCGCUGCAUCAGGCUUGCGCCCAUUGUGCAAUAUUCCCCACUGCUGCCUCCCGUAGGAGUUUGGGCCGUGUCUCAGUCCCAAUGUGGCCGGUCACCCUCUCAGGUCGGCUAUGGAUCGUCGGCUUGGUGAGCCGUUACCUCACCAACUACCUAAUCCAACGCGGGCCCAUCUUACACCACCGGAGUUUUUCACACAGAAACAUGCGUUCCCGUGCGCUUAUGCGGUAUUAGCAGUCAUUUCUAACUGUUGUCCCCCUGUGUAAGGCAGGUUGCCCACGCGUUACUCACCCGUCCGCCACUCAGUCAUUCCAAAAUCCACCGAAGUCUCAUUUAAAAUGCUUCGUCGACUUGCAUGUGUUAAGCACGCCGCCAGCGUUCAUCCUGAGCCAGGAUCAAACUCU
rnacentral:rRNA from 1 species